AUGGCGACUUCACCGGCAUGUUCUAUAUGCAAUGAAGAAGUGGACUCAUGGCGGCAUUCCUUGUUUGAUUGUCGUAUGGCCAGAUGUGUUUGGGCUUUGAGUGAUGAAGAUAUCCUCGAACACAUGUUAUCUAACAUAACUGAUGAUGCGAGGCUGUGGAUUUUUUGGCUGUUUGAGAGCACACAUCAGCAUGAUCUAGCCAAGAUCCUUGUCACGAUGUGGGCUAUAUGGUGGGCUUGGCGGAGAGCGAUUCAUGACAAUGAGUAUCAAAGCCCAUUAUCAACUUUCAGUUUCGUUAAUCGCUAUCUUGAAGAACUUGGCAUGGCAAAUGCUGAAAGUGCGACUAGCCCGAGACCUGCUAUCCAACAUAGGCCAACGAGAUGGCUACCACCUGAUGACGAGGCUGAUGCUCCAAGCCUUGAAGCCCAUGCAUGUAAUGAAGCUCUUGUCCUGGCCAGGGAUCUUAAUGUUUCACAUGCGAUAAUAGCCUCUGAUUGCAUGCAAGUCGUCACAGACAUCAAGAGAGGUGCCAACGCCUCUUAUGCUUUUCUGCUUAGUGAGAUCAAUGAGAGGAUGAAUGAUUUUGUAAAGAUUAGCUUUUGUUUUGAGAGAAGGGAGUCGAACUUUGAGGCCCAUGCUUUGGCUAAGGCAGCGUCGUCGCUCCCGGCGGGUCGCCACAUGUGGCUAGGGAUCCUACCAGACAUAAUUUGGGGCUUUCUCCUCUGGUGUUCAUUGCCCCCCAUCUUAUCUUCUCUCUUAACCCGAUGGCGCCCCAUCUGCAGCUGCCUUCUUCACCGAUUUUGCUUCAAGGGCCUGGCUGUUGAUUCAAGGGUCGUCCUGGCGAUCCAAUUUUCCCAGGCUGUCUUCGUUCGUCAGCCGGUUACGGCACGGCUGCAUAUGUGCGCUGGCUACCGGGCCUGCGCGCGCGUGUGGCGGAGGCCGGUCGGUCUCGCGCAGCGGUGGCCUGUUCAGGGUCGUCCUCGGCGGGGCCGCGUGGAUCAGCGCCGGGGCUCCGAGCUCCGGAUCGGCUUGGUCGUGGCCAGCCCACCGUUUCGACAGCGCGUUGCUGCAGGGCUUCGGGCUCAGAUAUGGCCGGUGGGCGUGUGGAUGUGCGUGCAGGUGCAGCGGCUGCCCAUGGAGCGCAGGAUGUUGGUUCUCUUUCCUUCUUUAAGAGAUUAG
rnacentral:rRNA from 1 species